AGAAAUAUAUUUAUAAUUCACUAUAUCUUCAAAGACCUGAAUAAAAUUAACCCUAUAUAUAUAUAUAUAUAUAUACACACUUGGCCCUAACUUAGUUGAACUCUCACUUCACAAACAUCUCUCACUUCCUAAACUUAACCCCAACAUGCAUUUCCCUCACCUUCUCUUCCUCCUUCCUCUCCUCCUUUCUCUCUCCACUCUUCCAUGCAAUGGCGGCCGCCAUCUCCGAUCCGCUCCCUCGACCGAUCCACCCUUCAACUACUCCGUCGAUAUGAAAUACUCUAAUGGCACCCAUCAUGCGGAGCCAACUCCAUCAUCUAUUCAAGGCGAUCGGUAUCUCGACGACGACAACGACGACGCUUUCGACGCCAAGGAUUAUUCGACUGCGCCUCGCACUCCUCACCGACGACAUGAUCACGAAGAACUGGGUUUCGACCUCGACUACGACCCACCGAGAUCUCAUAGCCCACACCACAACUGAGGCUACAAAUUAAUGCAUGCAAAUGCGAAUGCAACUGCAAAUGGCCAUUUUCUCUAACUAUUAUGGAGCUGCUACUCCUUUCUCUAUUGAGUAGUGCAUUAAUGUACAUAAUAUAUAUAUAUAUAUAUAGUGCGUGGAGAAGUACGUAGAACGUUGUUGUUUGGUUACGUGUGAACUUUGGAGCGUAGUUAAUAUAUAUAUAUUGAAGUUUAUACGA